UUUCUUGUGGCUCAGUUGGUAGAGCAUUGCGCCAACAACGCAAAGGUCGUGGGUUCAAGUUUCAAAGCAAAAA